rnacentral:sRNA from 1 species
UAUACCUAAAAAAAUGAAUGCCCUGCCUCUCUUUCCAUCACAUCUUGACGGCUACUUAUUAGUGCCAGUGUGAAUCAGGAUUGAAAGAUCAAG